CUCACAUCUCAUCAUGUAGGCAUUUUAUCAUCUCACAUCAUCACAGGAAGAAGAGGAGUACUCAAAGUCAGAAUCGUUAGUGUUCUGAGUCAAGGAAUAUUUAACUGGAUAAUGGAUUUAGAGAUCUAGGAUGUGAUUUUGACUGCCCUUCUGGAAAAGUCAUAAUGCCUCAGGCCAUGGAAACAGGAAACUGGAACUGAGUUUCUCACAUAAAGUUCUGUACCAUCAAAGAUCAUUCUCAUUGUGAAACGGGAAGUAGAAUAUUUUACUCACCAGUCCUAAGGAAGCACCAUCUAUCUAAGUUCAUUCAUUUUAUAAAGUAGAAGGUAUAAUAUGGAAAUGGAAAGGAGCAAAGAGAUUCACUGUCCACUUGGAGUCCUAUGAGAAUAGUGACCCAGGAGGAAUAUCAAACCUUAGCCUAUGCCAGGCCUGAAGGCACUGUCUGAAUUUACAAUACCUACCAGGUACGGGAAUCUAAGUUAUGAAAUUAACAUAAACAUAUUUGCACCGUGAUGAAAAAACUAAAGCAUCUUAGCAGGGGCAAAAGGUAAUCCUCUAUUCACCAGAAGGACCCCUCCAUGACUGAUGGAACUGGAAGACCAAUGGAAAACAUGCCCCAACAAUGGCAAACUGCCUGUCAAACAUCACAAAUGACACAAAAAAAUAAAUUCCUAUAAGAGAGUCAUAAGUUACAGCAAAUAUAGGAAUAUGAACCCCAAGAACUAAAAAAAUUGUCAAUUUAUUGUUUCAAAGUACUAUAAAUGUAUUAAUAUCAACAACUAAAGAAGAUAAAACAUAAACAGAAGAACAAAAAAAAUGAUAAAACAACCAGAGGAUAUUUGAAAGAACCAAAUAAAAUUACAGAAAUGAAAACAAUAAUCAUUUGAUGUGGGGAAAAAAGCCCUCAAUGGACAGACUAAACAAAAGAUAGGCACAGUUGAUAAGAUAAAUAGUUAGAGCAUGGAUUUGAGGAAAAGUCAUGUAGAGAGUAGAGUAGAGAGGUUAUUAAACAGAAAAAAUAUUAAAAAGUUAGGAACAUGGAAGACAGAAGAAAAGGCACCAAAUUAAGUCAAAUAGGUUUUCCAGAAACAAAAAAUAACAGGAAAUGUGAAGAUAAUAUAUUUCAAAAUAUAAUGGUUACAAUAAUUACUGCUUUACUGAAAGUUUUACAGAUUUAAUAAGACAAUGUGUAUAUAUAUUCUUUACUAAAAUAUAAUGAGCUGGGCACAGUGGCUCAUACCUUAAUCCCAGUGCUUUGGGAAGCCAAGGUGAGAGGAUCAUGUGAGGUCAGAAAUACAAGACCACCCUGGCAACAUAAUGAAACCCUGUCUCUACAAAAAAAUCUUUUACAUUAAGUGGGAGUGGUGGUGUGCACCUGUAGUCUUGGAUACUUGAGAGGCUGAGGCAGGAGUAUCACUUAAGCCCAGAAGUAUGAGGUUAUGAUGAGCUGAUCAUGCCACCGCAUUCAAGACUUGAUGACAGGGCAAGACAUCAUCUCU